GAUGAACGCUGGCGGCGUGCCUAAUACAUGCAAGUCGAACGAAACUUCUUUAUCACCGAGUGCUUGCACUCACCGAUAAAGAGUUGAGUGGCGAACGGGUGAGUAACACGUGGGCAACCUGCCCAAAAGAGGGGGAUAACACUUGGAAACAGGUGCUAAUACCGCAUAACCAUAGUUACCGCAUGGUAACUAUGUAAAAGGUGGCUAUACUACCGCUUUUGGAUGGGCCCGCGGCGCAUUAGCUAGUUGGUAGGGUAAAGGCUUACCAAGGCAAUGAUGCGUAGCCGAAUUGAGAGGUUGAUCGGCCACAUUGGGACUGAGACACGGCCCAAACUCCUACGGGAGGCAGCAGUAGGGAAUCUUCCACAAUGGGCGAAAGCCUGAUGGAGCAACGCCGCGUGGGUGAAGAAGGUCUUCGGAUCGUAAAACCCUGUUGUUAGAGAAGAAAGUGCGUGAGAGCAACUGUUCACGUUUCGACGGUAUCUAACCAGAAAGCCACUGCUAACUACGUG
rnacentral:rRNA from 1 species